rnacentral:rRNA from 1 species
UAGGGAAUCUUCCGCAAUGGACGCAAGUCUGACGGAGCAACGCCGCGUGAGUGAAGAAGGAUUUCGGUUCGUAAAACUCUGUUGUUAGAGAAGAACAGCGCAUAGAGUAACUGUUAUGCGUGUGACGGUAUCUAACCAGAAAGCCACGGCUAACUACGUGCCAGCAGCCGCGGUAAUACGUAGGUGGCAAGCGUUGUCCGGAUUUAUUGGGCGUAAAGCGAGCGCAGGCGGUCAAUUAAGUCUGAUGUGAAAGCCCCCGGCUCAACCGGGGAGGGUCAUUGGAAACUGGGUGACUUGAGUGCAGAAGAGGAGAGUGGAAUUCCAUGUGUAGCGGUGAAAUGCGUAGAUAUAUGGAGGAACACCAGUGGCUAAGGCGACUCUCUGGUCUGUAACUGACGCUGAGGCUCGAAAGCGUGGGUAGCAAACAGG